rnacentral:rRNA from 1 species
GUGCCAGCCGCCGCGGUAAGACGAGCAUCACGAACGUUAUUCGGAAUUACUGGGCUUAAAGGGUGCGUAGGCGGUGUAGCAAGUCGGGAGUGAAAUCCCGCAGCUCAACUGCGGAAUUGCUUUCGAUACUGCUGCGCUUGAGUGAGAUAGAGGUAAGCGGAACUUAGGGUGGAGCGGUGAAAUGCGUUGAUAUCCUAAGGAACACCGGUGGCGAAGGCGGCUUACUGGGUCUCUACUGACGCUGAUGCACGAAAGCCAGGGUAGCGAACGGGAUUAGAUACCCCUGUAGUCC